GGAAUAUUGGGCAAUGGGCGCAAGCCUGACCCAGCGACGCCGCGUGAGGGAUGAAGGCCUUCGGGCUGUAAACCUCUUUCAGUAGGGAAGAAGCGAAAGUGACGGUACCUAAAGAAGAAACACCGGCUAACUAUGUGCCAGCAGCCGCGGUAAUACAUAGGGUGCAAGCGUUGUCCGGAAUUAUUGGGCGUAAAGAGCUCGUAGGUCGUUUGCCGCGUCGAUUGUGAAAAUCUGAGGCUCAACCUCAGACCUGCAGUCGAUACGGGCAAACUAGAGUGUGGUAGGGGAGACUGGAAUUCCUGGUGUAGCGGUGGAAUGCGCAGAUAUCAGGAGGAACACCAAUGGCGAAGGCAGGUCUCUGGGCCAUAACUGACACUGAGGAGCGAAAGCGCGGGGAGCGAACAGGAUUAGAUACCCUGGUAGUCCGCGCCGUAAACGAUGGGCACUAGCUGUGAGAACCUUCCACGGUUUUCGCGACGCAGAAAACGCAUUAAGUGCCCCGCCUGGGGAGUACGAUCGCAAGAUUAAAACUCAAAGGAAUUGACGG
rnacentral:rRNA from 1 species